UGGGGAAUAUUGCACAAUGGGCGAAAGCCUGAUGCAGCGACGCCGCGUGAGGGAUGACGGCCUUCGGGUUGUAAACCUCUUUCAGCAGGGACGAAGCGCAAGUGACGGUACCUGCAGAAGAAGCACCGGCUAACUACGUGCCAGCAGCCGCGGUAAUACGUAGGGUGCAAGCGUUGUCCGGAAUUACUGGGCGUAAAGAGUUCGUAGGCGGUUUGUCGCGUCGUUUGUGAAAACCAGCAGCUCAACUGCUGGCUUGCAGGCGAUACGGGCAGACUUGAGUACUGCAGGGGAGACUGGAAUUCCUGGUGUAGCGGUGAAAUGCGCAGAUAUCAGGAGGAACACCGGUGGCGAAGGCGGGUCUCUGGGCAGUAACUGAUGCUGAGGAACGAAAGCGUGGGUAGCGAACAGG
rnacentral:rRNA from 1 species